UUGGAGGGCAAGUCUGGUGCCAGCAGCCGCGGUAAUUCCAGCUCCAAUAGCGUAUAUUAAAGUUGUUGCAGUUAAAAAGCUCGUAGUUGAAUUUCGGGAUUCAUCCGUUGGUCGGGCUUCACGGUCCGUACUGGUGUGAUGGGUUCCUACCUUCUGAAUAACCGGCAUGCCAUUAAUUUGGUGCGCCGGGGAAGCAGAACUAUUACCUUGAAAAAAUUAGAGUGCUUAAAGCAGGCAAGUGCCUGAAUAGGUUAGCAUGGAAUAAUAAAAUAGGACGGCAUGGUUCUAUUUUGUUGGUUUCUAGGAUCACCGUAAUGAUUAAUAGGGAUAGUUGGGGGCAUUAGUAUUCAAUUGUCAGAGGUGAAAUUCUUGGAUUUAUUGAAGACUAACUUCUGCGAAAGCAUUUGCCAAGGAUGUUUUCAUUAAUCAAGAACGAAAGUUAGGGGAUCGAAGACGAUCAGAUACCGUCGUAGUCUUAACCAUAAACUAUGCCGACUAGGGAUCGGAUGAUGUUAAUUUUUUAAUGACUCAUUCGGCGCCUUACGGGAAAC
rnacentral:rRNA from 1 species